GGGGCUGUAGCUCAGCUGGGAGAGCGCGUGCUUUGCAAGCAUGAGGUCAGGGGUUCGAUCCCCCUCAGCUCCA
rnacentral:tRNA from 1 species